rnacentral:rRNA from 1 species
AUUGAACGCUGGCGGCAUGCCUUGCACAUGCAAGCCGAGCGCAGGAAGCCGUUCCGAACCCUUCGGGGGGACGACGGUGGAAUGAGCGGCGGACGGGUGAGUAACACGUAAAGAACCUGCCCAUAGGUCUGGGAUAACCACGAGAAAUCGGGGCUAAUACCGGAUGUGUCAUCGGACCGCAUGGUCCGCUGAUGAAAGGCGCUCCGGCGUCGCCCAUGGCUGGCUUUGCGGUGCAUUAGCUAGUUGGUGGGGUAACGGCCCACCAAGGCGACGAUGCAUAGCCGACCUGAGAGGGUGAUCGGCCACACUGGGACUGAGACACGGCCCAGACUCCUACGGGAGGCAGCAGUAGGGAAUCUUCCACAAUGGACGAAAGUCUGAUGGAGCAACGCCGCGUGAACGAUGAAGGCUUUCGGGUCGUAAAGUUCUGUUGUAAGGGAAGAACAAGUGCCGCAGGAGAUGGCGGCACCUUGACGGUACCUUGCGAGAAAGCCACGGCUAACUACGUGCCAGCCGCCGCCGUAAAAC